UACAGAGGUCCGAGCGUUGUUCGGAUUCAUUGGGCGUAAAGGGUGCGUAGGCGGCGGGGCAAGUCUGAUGUGAAAUCCCGGGGCUACAACCCCGGAACUGCAUUGGAUACUGCCUUGCUCGAGUACUGGAAAGGAACUGGAAUUACGGUGUAGCAGUGAAAUGCGUAGAGAUCGUAAGGAAGGCCAGUGGCGAAGGCGAGUUCCUGGACAGUUACUGACGCUGAGGCAACGAAGGCCAGGGGAGCAAACGGG
rnacentral:rRNA from 1 species